CUCAAGAACUAGAUCAGAGAUACAUGGCAACCAGUGCUAAUUGAUCACCAUCUUCUUUUAUGAUAGGCUCAGAUGUAGCUUCAAAAUGCCUGUCAGCCCAAGCUCCAGCCUGCUCUGUGCACUUAGCAUGCACCCCGGAGGUGUAACCAUUUGCCAUCCUUAGACUAGAUGGAGUCUCCAGACUCUUGGCAUAGCGGGGGCUUUGAGGAGAGGGGCUGGGGAGCUGGGUGGACCCAAGGAGCUCCUCCCUUAGCUGCGCUGGCAUUCCAAGGGGCCGGAUGAACUAGAUUGUGGCUGCAGAGUGCUUAGACUAGGCCACUGGGGAAGACAGGGUGUCAUUAUUUAUCCACACAAAGGGCUGCGUGGUUGUUAUGUCUUUAUUAAUAAUUUCCUGUGGGCUCAGAGGUGCCCGCAAGCUGCAGCAUCACCUAAUUGGCUGCUUCUGCCUUCUAUGUGACCCAGCUGCCGCUUCAAAGCCUGGGCCUUCCUUUGGGUGUGGAGGGACCAAGCAAUUAGCACCCGCCUCCUCCCUCCUCUGCUCAGUGAGUCAGAGAGAUGCUUGGUCAGCAGUCCUCUUCUCCUGGCCUGUCCUCUGAGGACUUCAGACACCCUCAGCAGCCUCAGAUGAGGAGCCACAGGGUGGCUGCAGCCUUUUCCUUGGAAUGUGACCAAAGAACAUGCACUGUCCCCUCUCCGCGGGGUUCCCUGAGCACUGCAAGGGUAGACACUUCACUUGGCAAGUAUCUGUUGAGCCUGUACUGUUUGUAAACUCAGCGGGAGUCCCCGGAGAUGCAGCAGUGAGGAGGAGUGGCUUGGCCUUUUCCUUGUGGAGUUCCUAGGAAAUCCAACAAGGCUGUGAUGGCCCGGGGAGAUCAGAGUUAGGUGAGCAGGCAGCAAACCCAGACUCCGGGAAUCAAGGAAGUCUUGCUAAAGGAUCUGAGGCCUACGCAGAGAUGUCAUGGAUGGGUGGGAGUCACUGCUGUGAGUGGCAAGGAGUAUGCAGGUUCUAGGCAGAGGCAACAGCGUGUGCUAGUAGAGGCAACACAGUGUGCGUGGCAUAUGUGAGGGACUGAGGCUCAGAGAGGCUGGAUCAUAGCUUGCAGGGUGGGCAUGACAAGGAGAGGCCGGAGUCCAUGAGUUAGUGAAGGCAGGAGCUGGAUCGCAUGGGACUUUGUGGCAAACUGAAAGCAUUAGGGCUUUUUCCUGAGUAUGUUGAUGUGUGUAUGCAGGGCAUAUGAUUAUAUUCACAUUUUAGAAAAUCUUGAGAUCUAGAUCCCAAGUGGGAUUUAAAAUCUGACCCACUGGGCAUCACCCAGGACAAGGGAGGAAGGAGCCCCAUCUCACCAUGGGUCACCAUGGGCAAAUGGGUCUCACUCAUUGGCACUUGUCCUUAAAAGGGCACUGAAAGGCACUUGGAAUUUACUAAGAGGAAAGGGAACUGGAUAGGGUACUGGAUAGGACCCUCUUACCAAGCUCAAACCACUCAGCCAGGUGCUUCUGGCUCAAAGGCUCACUAGUGCUGAGCUUCAUUGCAAGCAGGAUCUCACUGGCGGUGGAAGGAGAGGGAGCUGUGAGCUCCAUGGUACCCAAUGCCUAACCUUUGGUAGGUAAUCCAUACAGUUAGCACUUAAACAGAGCAUACUGUGCACAAGGCACUGUGCUUUACACAUCCCAACUCAUUUAAUCAUCCCCAGACCAUGAGAGAGGUGCUAUUGUCAUCCACACUUCAGUGAUGUUAAAAUUGAGCACAGAGAGGGUAAGUCACUUGCCCAACCCCAUAUAGCAGGUACAUGGUAGAGCCACUUUUAGUGACUCAGUGAAGAAGGAAAGGAAGGAAUGAGAAAGGCCAUCUGAGGCUUUGGAAUGGGAAAGUAUUCAGUGAGAUGAAAUGGAGUAGAUGAGAACACUGGAGUGACAGUGCAUGUAGGUGUCCAACAUGGCUGGAGCCUGUGGGGAGUGGGCAGUGAAGCCCAUCUUGCAGAUAGCUUGUGCAAUUAAAUGGCCUUUCAUACAGAAAGGCCCAGUGUAGCUUCUGGCACUGAGGAAUAGCUCAAUAAAACUUUGGUGCUGGCUGCACUGUCUCUUUGUGCCCAGUGCCCCUGCUAGAGCUAACCAUCUCUCUAAUGGCCGUCACUUGUCCAGCCAUGGAUUUUCCCAUUCACCUGUCUGCUUGUCCUUCAUUUUGCUGGCAUCCCAAGAGAAUGGACAAGAGAUGAAAAUCCAAGGUUUCCUAAUUGUCUCCCAUAGGCCUGUCAUGUAUAGGGAAACACUCAACAAGCAUGAAAUAGGAGAUUAUUGUCUGUUACCUGCAUUCUGCCUAGACAGCAGGCUAACUAAUACCCUAAGGGAGAGAGCCAGGGAUCCUGGGGCCUUACUUCUGAUUUGGCAAGCAGAUGAGCUGAUGUGAAAGAGUGUGAAUUCUCAGCAGCCACAGAUUGGACACCAGGGUGAGGUGGCUCAGCGUCCCUGUCUUCAACCUAGCCUUGAAACAAAGGAUGAGUCAAGGGCCUGAAUGAGGAGGGACAGGAAAAGUGUGCCCCACCCUGGAUUGAGAUGAUGCAAGAUCAUCACUGAGCUACAAACACACUUCAAAUCACUGGACUAUGGAACGUAGGGCUACUUUUUUUUUUUUUUUUUUUUUUUUGAGACCGAGUCUCAUUCUGUUGCCCAGGCUAGAGUGCAAUGGCAUGAAUUCGGCUCACUGCAACUUCCACCUCCCAGGUUCAAGAGAUUCUCGUGCCUCAGCCUGCCAAGUAGCUGGGACUACAGAUGUGAGUCACCACGCCUGGCUGAUUUUUGUAUUUUUAGUAGAGGUGAGGUUUCGCCAUGUUGGCUGGUCUUGAACUCCUGACCUCAGGUGAUCCACCCGCCUUGGCCUCUCAAAGUGCUGAGAUUACAGGCGUAAGCCACCAUGCCCAGCCUUAGGGAUACUUUUUAAGGCAAUUGAUGGCGACAAUGUUUCAUAUGUGAAAUGCAAAUCUUAUAUGUCAUGGGACCAAAAAAAUGUUCUCUUUUGUAACAUUUCCCUCCCUGCUCUGCCUGCUCAGAUUCUCUCCUUCCUCUGUCCUCUCUGCUCCCAGGAGGGUCCUGCCAGUGUCGUCCUCUUGACCUGGGAAUAGAGGGAGAGAAUAGGUGGGAUGGGCCUGUGGGUCUGGGCUGGGGGAGUUUGGGGGGAUUUAGCUAAGACAGGCUGCAAGGGACCUUAGAAGUAUAAGGGCAGUGGACGAGAGUGCUAAAACACAAGGAAACAAACACCUUGAGAUGUGUAACUGCGGGUUUUAAGUCCCUUUAAUGGUGUUUGAGGAAUACAAAUAAAGGACUUGAGUUAUGUUGAAAUUCCUUUUGGCUUCUGAAAUGUGUUGUUUUAACCAUGACACUGUUCUGGGUCUAAAACCCAUGGACCACUGCUUUACUAGCUGUGUGCUUCUAGCUAAUCUCAUAGCAAAGAAGUCUAUAAAAUACACAUUGAUACUAGCCCAGUGAGUUCUCCAGUUCCUCAGAGAUUAUGCAUUGACUUGUCUCAUUCUAUCACUUAUUCAUUCACUCACUCAACAAGCUCCUAAUAAGCACCUAUUAUUAUGUUCUAGGACCUGUGCUGGGCAUAGGGGAUCCAGAAUGGUUCCUCCUCCAGCACACCUCAGUCCAAACCCUGGGCCCCACAACACA
rnacentral:lncRNA from 1 species